rnacentral:rRNA from 1 species
CAAAGGUUUGGUCCUGACUUUACUGUCAGCUUUAGCUAAACUUACACAUGCAAGUAUCCGCACCCCCGUGAGAAUGCCCUAACAGUCAUCCAUGCGAAGACAAGGAGCUGGUAUCAGGCUCACCCACAAAGCCCACGACGCCUUGCUCAGCCACACCCCCAAGGGAAUUCAGCAGUGAUUAACAUUAAGCCAUGAGUGAAAACUUGACUUAGUUAAAGCUAAGAGGGCCGGUAAAACUCGUGCCAGCCACCGCGGUUAUACGAUAGGCCCAAGUUGACAGACCCCGGCGUAAAGCGUGGUUAGGGAAAAUUUAAAACUAAAGCCGAACACCUUCAGGGCAGUCAUACGCUUCCGAAGGCACGAAGCCCCUCCACGAAAGUGGCUUUACUACCCCCGACCCCACGAAAGCUAGGACACAAACUGGGAUUAGAUACCCCACUAUG